rnacentral:rRNA from 1 species
GACGAACGCUGGCGGCGUGCUUAACACAUGCAAGUCGAACGGAGUGGCGAACGGGUGAGUAACGCGUAAUCAACCUGCCCUUCAGAGGGGGACAACAGUUGGAAACGACUGUUAAUACCGCAUACUGAAGGAGGGGAUUGAGUCUGAUUAGCUAGGUGGAGGGGUAACGGCCCACCAAGGCGAUGAUCAGUAGCCGGUCUGAGAGGAUGAACGGCCACAUUGGGACUGAGGCACGGCCCAGACUCCUACGGGAGGCAGCAGUGGGGAAUCUUCCGCAAUGGACGAAAGUCUGACGGAGCAACGCCGCGUGAGUGAUGACGGCCUUCGGGUUGUAAAGCUCUGUUAAUCGGGACGCGGUACCGGAAUAGAAAGCCACGGCUAACUACGUGCCAGCAGCCGCGGUAAUUC